rnacentral:misc_RNA from 1 species
UACGAAGGGCCCAAGCGUUACUCGGAAUCACUGGGCUUAAAGCGUACGCAGGCUGGCUCGCAGGCAUCUUGUGAAAUCCCUCCGCUCAACGGAGGAAUUGCAGGGUGAACCGCGAGUCUUGAGACAGGUAGGGGCCGUCGGAACGCUCGGUGGAGUGGUGAAAUGCGUUGAUAUCGAGCGGAACGCCGAAGGUGAAGACAGGCGGCUGGGCCUGUUCUGACGCUCAUGUACGAAAGCGUGGGGAGCGAACGGG